rnacentral:rRNA from 1 species
GACGAACGCUGGCGGCGUGCUUAACACAUGCAAGUCGAACGGUGAAGCGCCUUCCUUUUUGGUGGGUGUGGAUGAGUGGCGAACGGGUGAGUAACACGUGAGUAACCUGCCCCCUUCUUCUGGAUAACCGCAUGAAAGUGUGGCUAAUACGGGAUAUUCUGGGUCUGUCGCAUGAUGGGUCUGGGAAAGAUAUUGUUUCGGUGGGGGAUGGGCUCGCGGCCUAUCAGCUUGUUGGUGGGGUGAUGGCCUACCAAGGCGGUGACGGGUAGCCGGCCUGCGAGGGUGGACGGUCACACUGGGACUGAGACCCGGCCCAGACUCCUACGGGAGGCAGCAGUGGGGAAUAUUGCACAAUGGGCGCAAGCCUGAUGCAGCGACGCCGCGUGAGGGAUGGAGGCCUUCGGGUUGUGAACCUCUUUCGCCAGUGAAGCAGGCCUGCCUCGUUUGUGGGUGGGUUGACGGUAGCUGGAUAAGAAGCGCCGGCUAACUACGUG